rnacentral:rRNA from 1 species
CCUACGGGGGGCAGCAGUGAGGAAUAUUGGUCAAUGGACGAGAGUCUGAACCAGCCAAGUAGCGUGAAGGAUGACUGCCCUAUGGGUUGUAAACUUCUUUUAUAUGGGAAUAAAAUGUUCCACGUGUGGGAUUUUGUCUGUACCAUAUGAAUAAGGAUCGGCUAACUCCGUGCCAGCAGCCGCGGUAAUACGGAGGAUCCGAGCGUUAUCCGGAUUUAUUGGGUUUAAAGGGAGCGUAGGUGGACUGUUAAGUCAGUUGUGAAAGUUUGCGGCUCAACCGUAAAAUUGCAGUUGAAACUGGCAGUCUUGAGUACAGUAGAGGUGGGCGGAAUUCGUGGUGUAGCGGUGAAAUGCUUAGAUAUCACGAAGAACUCCGAUUGCGAAGGCAGUUCACUGGACUGCAACUGACACUGAGGCUCGAAAGUGUGGGUAUCAAACAGGAUUAGAUACCCGAGUAGUC